GUGAGUAAUAGGUAUAUUUAGUCUCUUUGGGUUCUUGGAGUCUUCAUCUAAAGAUACUUUUUUUAGAGAAAAAUGAUCAUUUCAGACAAGGCCUAAUCAGCCUGUGAAAUCCCCCCUAACUUGUUGUGUUGUUUGUUUGUUUGUUUUUCUUGAUUUAAAUCUCCUGCAGAAUGCAGUGCACUGACAUCACAGCUGCAAACUCUUCGGAUGCAUACUGGGUCAUCGCCAAGGCAAUGUUCGGUGGCAGCGUGACUGGGACGAUAACCCUGUCCCAACAGAGUUUUCCCGAUGGCAGUUACAGUGAUGUAAGCCUGCUGGUGGACAUCCGUGUAUCCAAAGCCCUCAACGUGAGUAGCCAAUCGUUACCCAGUCGUAUUAUAUAAGUCGUAGUCAUGGUACCUCAUGAAAUAAUUUGGCGUUGUGCUGCAUUCCCACAUGUAAUCCCAGUUCUCUGUGUCCAUUUUAAUCAGGUCACUGAAGCCUCCUGGUACAUCACUGAAAGUCGCACCAGCGGCCUGCCUGCUGGAUGUACUGGAACUGGAAGAGCCUUUAACCCUUUCAACAUGACAGCUCGGAGCUCCAGCUGUUCUCAGCUCACUCCUCUGGCCUGUGAGGUGGGGGAUCUGACCGGUCGGCAUGGCUCUAUCAGUCUGACCCAGAGGCAGCUGUUCACCGACUCCCACCUGCAGCUGGCUGGAGACUUCACAGUUGUCUACAGAUCGCUGGUGCUAAUGGUUGGAAAUAGCACGAUCGCUUGUUCAGACAUUGUCCCAGAAUCACCCUCAGCUCAGCAAAUCUUCCCUAAAGUGACAUUCUUCAGCAGGUACGGCUUCCGUAAGAGGGUGGCAGAUGUUCUGGACGUCCAUGUGUCACGAGUGUCGGUCUUGCCUGGAGCCCUCUCGCCCAUGCCUGGAGGGAAUUGCCAGCAGGUCACCUUCCUUGUGUCAGGUCAAGUAAACCUGAAGACGCUGGCCUCAGUAAAGAACAAUGAGAAAAUGGGCAUCUUCAAGCAGACUGCAGAAUGUGUGAGAAGCGGUGCCCGUGGUCUGCUGACCCAUAGUUGGACCACCCAGAUCCUCUCAGUUGCUGCAGUUCGGCUUCUCCAGGCGGCUGUCCUGCAGUGGACGUCACUCUGAGAUUCAGCAGCCGUUAGACCGUACAGGUCAGACUCUGGCGUCUGAGUUAGCGUCACACCGCAGGCUUUAUUGCGGAUAAACAGUCAAACUGCUCCAGCUGUAGUCUGUUACAUUCACUGGAAAGAAACUUGAGGUAUUUAUUCUUAUUAAUAAUGCAUCAUUUUAGCGAAUGGUUUUAUUAGUAUUAAUAUUAUUUUCCUAGUUCUUGGAAUACCUAGCGAUGUUGAAGGGAAUACUGAUUGUUGCUGCCUCCUGCUUCUGUGUCUGGUUGUAAGGGACUGUUGUGCACUUGUGUACGUGAUCAUUAAUGUGUUUAUGUAAAUGAUUAAUAAUUAAUUAAGUAUGUAAAUAAUUAGCAUAUGAUGACCUUGUAUCCCUUUCAUUUCCGUUCUCAAGAUUGUACAUUUUGUAAGUUGCAUGUCAAAAUAUCAAAGCAUUUGUUUUGCUGCACUUUGGGAUUGUAAAAAUAAAAAAUGACCAUGUACUGACCAGCUCAAAUAUUGACCAGCUCAGAGCCAGGAGGGUUUCUCACUGUAAGCGGCCUCAUGUGGUUGCUUGUACGCUGUGCAUGGUUAAUAAAUGUGUCGCUUUUGU
ensembl:lncRNA